rnacentral:rRNA from 1 species
AGAGCGAACGCUGGCGGCAGGCCUAAUACAUGCAAGUCGAACGCACCUUCGGGUGAGUGGCGGACGGGUGAGUAACACGUGGGAACGUGCCCUUUGGUUCGGAAUAAUCCGGGGAAACCUGGCCUAAUACCGGAUGUGCCCUUCGGGGGAAAGAUUUAUCGCCAUUGGAGCGGCCCGCGUCUGAUUAGCUUGUUGGUGGGGUAAUGGCCCACCAAGGCUACGAUCAGUAGCUGGUCUGAGAGGAUGAUCAGCCACACUGGGACUGAGACACGGCCCAGACUCCUACGGGAGGCAGCAGUAGGGAAUCUUGCGCAAUGGGCAAAGCCUGACGCAGCCAUGCCGCGUGAAUGAUGAAGGUCUUAGGAUUGUAAAAUUCUUUCAGCGGGGAAGAUAAUGACUGUACCCGCAGAAGAAGCUCCGGCUAACUUCGUGCCAGCAGCCGC